rnacentral:tRNA from 1 species
GGGGGCUUAGCUCAAUUGGUAGAGCGCGAGCUUUGCAAGCUCGAGGUCACCGGUUCGAUCCCGGUAGCCUCCACCA